AUUGAACGCUGGCGGCAGGCCUAACACAUGCAAGUCGAACGAGUGGCGGACGGGUGAGUAACGUCUGGGCAACUGCCUGAUGGAGGGGGAUAAUUACUGGAAACGGUAGCUAAUACCGCAUACCAUCUGUUGUGCCCAUAUGGGAUUAGCUAGUAGGUGGGGUAAUGGCUCACCUAGGCGACGAUCCCUAGCUGGUCUGAGUGGAGGACGGGCGACACUGGAACUGAGAAACGGUCCAAAGUCCUAGGGGAGGCAGCAGUGGGGAAUAUUGCACAAUGGGCGCAAGCCUAAUGCGGCCAUGCCGCGUGUAUGAAGAAGGCCUUCGGGUUGUAAAGUACUUUCAGCGGGGAGGCGUUACCCGCAGAAGAAGCACCGGCUAACUCCGUGCCAGCAGCCGCGGUAAUAC
rnacentral:rRNA from 1 species